rnacentral:lncRNA from 1 species
UCCUCUUGAGGUUGGCCUCCGGGGCGGAGGCCCUUGCGGGAGAAUCCUUUAGAGAGGAAUCGGGGGGCCGAAAAUGGCAAAGACCAGCGUGGAGGAUGCUUAGAGUCAGUAGGGGCACCGAUGGAGUGGCUAAGUGGCUAAGCUCUCAGGCGAAAGAAGGGUGUCAUCCUUUGGGCGAAGUAAAGCCCCCGGAGGAAGGGUGGGGGGUUUAAAUAGGCAACGAAACCUGGCGCAAUUAUGAUGGCAGGUGCCC